UUCUAUAUCGGUUUUAAAAUUGUUAACCACUCUUUCCUUCAAACUUUUUCUUCAUUUGCAUUUCAUGACCUCACUUUCACUUAAUUCUUAUACCUUUUUGUCCCCUGUUCAGUCUUUUUCCUAGGCAUCUCAUCUUUUCUGCUUCUAGAAGAGGCUUAGAGAUAUCUAGCUUGCCAAAUUAAAUAAAUUCUUCCCCCAUGGCUAUUGGAAUCAUCUCAAAGAUCCCUAUGUGUUAGGCAAAUUUGAUGCUGUGGUAGUGAUUUUGUGGUUAGGAUAAAUAUAUAAUGAAAACUGGAUCAUGACUACUUAUUUUCCAUAGACUUCUAAAGUGUCUAAAGAUGUAGAUAAUUUUUAGUAUCAGCUUAUAUGAAUUCAGUUUAAGCCUCAUCUAAAGGUAUGAAAAGCCACAAUAGCAGAAAUAUAAACAACAAAAACUCCAUUAUUAAACAUUUCCUGAAUGCUAAUUGUGUAAUUGUCAAGUACCAGGGUCACUUGAACAUCUUGUCCUCAUCUGGUACUACUAGACCACAAGAAUUUUCUCCCUCUCUCUCUAAGGCAGGUACCAGGUAGUAAGAACCACUCCUUAUUUCUACUAAACUAUGAGAUUUUUCAUCACACUGUGGGCUCCCUGCAGAUAGAGAUGAUGUCUUAGUCAUCUGUGUCCUCUGUGCCAAGCAGACCACUUGACAUGAACCUACUAACGAUGUGAAGUCCAUCAUGGGGACAGCAAACCAUACCUGCACAUAUAAAGGCAUCUAUACCAGCAAGUAAGGCUACCUAUUUCCAUUUAUCAAAUCGAUUCAUCUAAUACAUACUGAAUAAAAGAGGGGCCAACAUCAACAAAAUUCUUGCCCAGUUGGAGCCUACAUUCUAAUGGAGGAUACAGACAAUAAAUAAACAAUGCAGUUUCAUACAAUGGUAACUUUUCUUGGUAAAAGCAAAUACUGGCUGAUUUUGGAAAAGUUUUUGGAAAGGUUAACCAACUGUCUCUGUGUAAACCCAACUUCCAAGUUCAUGUAUCCUUUACUACUGUAAGAUGUUUUUCCUGAGGUAUUCAAGUAAAACCUGCAGGGGUUUCUUAAGACCUGGCAUUUCAUCUGUUCCAUACCAGUUUUCUCAAAUUUUGUGGGAUAAUCACUUUACAGCCUCUGUGCCUAUGAUCCACCUCUAGCCUUAAUGCCAUGUUCUGGCCAACAUCCCAGAAUAACCCACGACUAUUGAGUCUCGAGUUGACUCCAGAAUCUUUGUAUGAGAGUAUUUUAGGGAUGGUAGUUUCAUUAAAGUGUGGUUAGGAGACUUGUCUUAAAGCUCUGUUUGAAUAGCAAGAACACUGCCUAGAGUAAUGCUUGGGAGGUAAGUACCUGGUAGGUACUCAACAGGUAUUUUUAAAUAAAUUAAUGAUUAUUUUUAUCAUUGCCAUAAAAUCGUGAUUGAGAAACUUAAGCCUACUGUUGGAUGUUCAAAAAAAAAGGUUGGAUAGUCAGGAAAACUAGAUGAGAAGCACUCAUCAUAGCAUUUUUCUUGAUGUACUUUUCUUCUUUCUAGAUAUACCACAUAUCAAAGAAGCCCCACAACCAAACUUACAUUGGCUAAGAAGAUUGGGAUAUCACUAUGACAACAUUUCCAGGAGAAGAAAGGGUUAUGAUACAGAGGAAAUCUGGUUUCAGAACAAUGGGGGAACUAAUAAUAUAGAAGACUGGUUAAAAGUAUGGGUUCUGGAGUCAGACAAGUCUGAGUUUUAAUCCUGCCUGCCACUUGUUAGCUGGGUAACCCUGGACUACCAGCCAGUUGCUCUAAUUUGCAAUUUCAGCAACUACAAAAUAAGGAAUGUAAUGUCUUCCUCAUAGCAUAUAGAUGAAAUGAACUAAUAAGGUAAAGCAUCUGCACAGUGCCUGCUGCCAAAGUGUUCAAUAAAUGCUAGUAGUUAAUAUUAUCAAACGGAUGUUAUUAUAUAUUCCCAUAUAUUCUAUAAUGGAAAUACAGAGAUUUUAAGUUUUAAUGGCAUUUAAGAUUACAGUAUGGUUAUAGUGUACUAAAGAAUACUUUUUACGAUGAGAACAAAUUGCCACAUGAUUUACUUCCUAUUUUUACUUUUGGUUUCCACUGAUGAAUUAUUAUACAUUUCUGCAAAUUUCAAGUAUUACUGCCUAAGCCUUUUAUUUAUAAAAAGUAUUAAUUUAUUUAUUAAUACAUAUAUAUAAUUUUGGAUAAUGCAUAAAUAUGAACACCUACAUCUUUAGUAGUGACUAUUUUUAAAAAUCUCAUAUCUCUUCUCCCACUUUGGUUUCUUUUAUACCCCAUUUCCUUGAUAACCCAUGUUAACAGCCUAAUAUGUAUCCAUCCAUUUUCUAAUUUAUUUUGUUGGUUUGUUUUUUACUUUAGAGAGAUAGAAAGAGAGAGAGAGAGCACCAGUGGGGGACAGGGGCAGAGGGAGAGAGAGAGAAUCUUCAACAGGCUCCACAAACUGCAAUGCCCAACACGGGGCUCAGUCCCACAACCCUUGGAUGAUAACCUGAGAUGAAAUCAAGAGUUGGACACUCGACCAAGAGAACCAGCCAGGUGCUCCACUCUUCAUUUAUAAUUCUAUGGAGACUUAUUCAUAAUAUAUUUAUAUACAUAUAAAAAUACGGGGUUAUUUUGAUCAUCAACUUUAAAAAUGGGACCAUAUUCUCAAGCGUGUUACUUUUCUCACCCAACAAUAUCCAGAGGAAAGAUCUUCAAUUCAUUUGAGUUUAAUAGUACAAUAUUCCAUAAUUUAGAUGUAACAUUAUCUAUGUAGCAUUUCCUCAAUUAUUGAGCGUUCCUUUUGUUUCCAUUUUUUGGCACUACAAAUUAGGCUACAAUAAACAUCCUUAUAUGUCUUUA